rnacentral:rRNA from 1 species
GCAUAUCAAUAAGCGGAGGAAAAGAAACCAACAGGGAUUGCCUCAGUAGCGGCGAGUGAAGCGGCAAGAGCUCAGAUUUGAAAUCGCAGCAAUGCGAGUUGUAGAUUGCAGGUGGGAGAGUCUGCGGCGGUGCGUGUCUAAGUCCCUUGGAACAGGGCGCCAUUGAGGGUGAGAGCCCCGUGCGACGCGUGCCUAUGCUUGAC